CCAAGGGAAGCCUUUACAUCCAUUCAGUGGAACACUACUCGGCAGUAAAGAGGGCCGAACAACUGACACACACAACAUGGAUAGAUGUCAAAAUAAUUAUGCCAAGUGGAAGAAGCCAGAUUCAAAAGGCUACAUGCUGUGUGUUUCCAUUUGUAUGACAUUCUGGAAAAGGCAUAACUAUAGGCAUGAGGAACAGACCAGGGGUUACCAGGCUUAGAGGUGGGGAUAUAGUGUGACCACAAGGGAAUUUGGAGGUGAUGGACUGUUCUGUGUCCUGAUAGUGGUGGUUGUGACGCUAAUCCACGCAUGUGUUAAAACUCAGAGACCUGUACACCACCAAAGGGUGGAUUUUACUGUUUGUAAAUUUUUUUUAAUGUUUAAGACAGAAUAUUUGAAAAAGAGUCGAAUGUUCCUGCUCACUCCUCCUUUGCUCUCUUCGUUCGUCACUGAAGAGCCUGCCCAGGGGAGCUGCUGGCUCAAGAAGGACCUGAGGACAGACCGGAGCCCACCUGCGCCCUGAAGAGGAGCCUUCUCACCUACCGAGGAAAAACCACAGAGCAGAACACAGGCAUAGACCCUACAAGCUACUCACAGACUGGUCUCAGCCCAGCCUGUAUGACGAUUUGCUGCGAAACCUCGGACAAGGGUCUUCCUCUUUGGAGCCUGAGAUACUGUGAUUUAUAAGAAAUAUAUAUUUAGCCUUCAUGCACUGUUUCUGGCACAGAGCUCCUAAAACUCUUGGAAUUUCCUAAGCUUUGAGAGCAAUAAAGGUGCCUUUUGUUGUAUGAAGGAGGUGACUUCUGGAAAGCACCUAGGUUAACCUCAGAACGAGGACUGGUUGCCAGGGGAACCAACCAGGCGACUGGAGGGUUAGAAUUUUCAGUCCCUCCCCUCCCCCAGCCCCCACCAACCUCUAGGGAGGGGAAAGGGGCUAGACUUUCAGUUCAAUCACCAAUGGCCAAUGAUGUAAUCCACCGUUCCUAUGUAAUGAAGUCUCUUCCCACGCACCUUGCCCUGUGUAUCUCUUCUAUCUGGCCAUUCCUGAGUUAUAUCUGUUUACAAUAAUCGGGUAAUCUAGUGAAUAAAAUGUUUCUCUGGGUCCUGUGAGCUGCUCUAACAAAUUAAUUAAGUCUGAGGAGGGGGUCUUGGCUCCCAUCUAUAGGCGGUUGGUCAGAAGCACAGGUGACAACCUGGACUUGCAAUUGGCAUCUGAAGUGAGGUGGGCAGGGAGUCGUAAGCACGAACCCUUCACCUGUGGGA